CCCACACCCUGCUCCGUUCACACGGCUGGCAGCAGACCCUGGACAUCUGCUGGGCACCACAAUGGCCUCUAUCCGCUCGCUGUGGACGGGGCUGGUCGUGCUAGGAGUACUAGGUGUGCUGGGGGUCCUGCAGAUGGGAGCCCAGGCCCAGGUCUCCAUGCAGCCUGACUUCCAACAGGACAAGUUCAUGGGGCGCUGGUUCAGCGCCGGCCUCGCAUCCAACUCAAGUUGGUUCCGGGAGAAGAAGGCCACAAUGUCCAUGUGCUCCACUGUGGUGGCCCCCAGUGCGGACGGCGGUCUCAAUCUCACCUCCACCUUCCUCAGGAAGGACCAGUGUGAGACCCGGACCAUGCAGCUGCAGCCCACAGGGACCCCCGGCUCCUACAGCUAUCACAGUCCGCGUUGGGGCCGCACCUCCUUGAUCUCCGUCGUGGAGAUCAACUAUGAUGAAUAUGCACUGGUGGACACCAAGGGUGUUGAUCAUGACUUCCGCAUGGCCACGCUCUACAGCCGCACCCAGACCCCGAGGGCGGAGCUGAAGGAGAAAUUCUCCACCUUCUGUGAGGCCCAGGGUUUCACAGAGGAUACCAUUGUUUUCCUGCCACAAACCGAUAAGUGCCUGAAGGAGGAGGAAUAGGAUAGGCCGGCUUGGAUCUCCUCAUAUGUCGUGGGCCUAUCAGACCAGCAGGAAGUCAUACGUAGGCACAUAGGUAGUCCAGCCCUCGGGAUUCCUCUGCUCUGCACCUUUCUCCGAGACCCCAGCCUGAGCUCCCUAAAGCCUCUGCACCUCCCACUUCACUGCAGACCUGAGAAAUAAAUGGAAGCAAGUCAGA